AGCAGUCGCCACGGGAAUACGUAGGUGGCAAGCGUUGUCCGGAAUUAUUGGGCGUAAAGCGCGCGCAGGCGGAUCGGUCAGUCUGUCUUAAAAGUUCGGGGCUUAACCCCGUGAUGGGAUGGAAACUGCCAAUCUAGAGUAUCGGAGAGGAAAGUGGAAUUCCUAGUGUAGCGGUGAAAUGCGUAGACAUUAGGAAGAACACCAGUGGCGAAGGCGACUUUCUGGACGAAAACUGACGCUGAGGCGCGAAAGCCAGGGGAGCGAACGGGAUUAGAGACCCCAGUAGUCCCUGUCUCUUAUACA
rnacentral:rRNA from 1 species